rnacentral:rRNA from 1 species
CCUACGGGAGGCAGCAGUGGGGAAUCUUGCGCAAUGGGCGAAAGCCUGACGCAGCAACGCCGCGUGCGGGAUGAAGGCCUUCGGGUUGUAAACCGCUUUCAGCAGGGAAGAAAUUGACGGUACCUGCAGAAGAAGCCCCGGCCAACUACGUGCCAGCAGCCGCGGUAACACGUAGGGGGCGAGCGUUGUCCGGAUUUAUUGGGCGUAAAGAGCUCGUAGGCGGUUCGGUAAGUCGGGUGUGAAACCUCCAGGCUCAACCUGGAGACGCCACCUGAAACUGCUGUGACUAGAGUCCGGUAGGGGAGUGUGGAACUCCUGGUGUAGCGGUGAAAUGCGCAGAUAUCAGGAAGAACACCAGCGGCGAAGGCGGCACUCUGGGCCGGUACUGACGCUGAGGAGCGAAAGCGUGGGUAGCAAACAGGAUUAGAUACCCUGGUAGUCCACGCCGUAAACGUUGGGCACUAGGUGUGGGUCUCAACCAACGAGAUCCGUGCCGCNGCUACGCAUAGUCGCCCGCCGUGGAGGUACGGCCGCGACGACGUAAACGUACGAAGAAGUAGACGGUCGUGAGACGUUGCGAGGACGACGACGAGGGAGAGG